rnacentral:rRNA from 1 species
CAUUAAGUGCCCCGCCUGGGGAGUACGGCCGCAAGGCUAAAACUCAAAGGAAUUGACGGGGGCCCGCACAAGCGGCGGAGCAUGCGGAUUAAUUCGAUGCAACGCGAAGAACCUUACCAAGGCUUGACAUCCACCGGACCGCACUGGAGACAGUGCUUCCCUUCGGGGCUGGUGGACAGGUGGUGCAUGGUUGUCGUCAGCUCGUGUCGUGAGAUGUUGGGUUAAGUCCCGCAACGAGCGCAACCCUCGUUCUAUGUUGCCAGCACGUGAUGGUGGGGACUCAUAGGAGACUGCCGGGGUCAACUCGGAGGAAGGUGGGGAUGACGUCAAAUCAUCAUGCCCCUUAUGUCUUGGGCUUCACGCAUGCUACAAUGGCCGGUACAAAGGGUUGCGAUACUGUGAGGUGGAGCUAAUCCCAAAAAGCCGGUCUCAGUUCGGAUUGAGGUCUGCAACUCGACCUCAUGAAGUCGGAGUCGCUAGUAAUCGCAGAUCAGCAACGCUGCGGUGAAUACGUUCCCGGGCCUUGUACACACCGCCCGUCAAGUCACGAAAGUUGGUAACACCCGAAGCCGGUGGCCUAACCCCUUGUGGGAGGGAGCCGUCGAAGGUGGGACCGGCGAUUGGGACUAAGUCGUAACAAGGUAGCCGUAAGCUUGGAUCCCGGG